rnacentral:rRNA from 1 species
AUGUACCGAGGAACGAUAAUAAACCAUAAUAGCACGAGGAAGGGACUUGUGGCAUACACACCUCAGUUAUUGUCAGACUCACAGUCAGACUUCGAGUUAACACAGGAGGGGAGGAGCCUUCUUAGAAACUUCUUUCCACUGGAUUCUGCUUCUGGUUCAAUGUAUUCUGAUUCUGCUUCUGCUCCAAAUUCUGAUUCUGCUUCAAUGUAUUUAUAUGGGAUAUGGACCAAGUGGUUGAAAUACUCCCCACCUUCUCUGCAUCGUCUUUGCAACUCGGGGCAGCCCGCUAUGGUUAGGCGGUCAAGGGUUGGCAACCGCUGA